UCCUUCUCCUUCUUCCUUCUUCCCUCUCUCGUUUUUCAGUUUCCUCUCAGAGAAGAGAAGAUGCCAAACUUUUAGUUUUGAUUUCCUUUCCAUCAACAUCAUCUGUAUAAGACUUCAGUAUCCAUUUAUGUAAAUGGAUCUGCUCUGAAGAAUUGUUUUUCUUUUGUAUCAACAAAGAGUUGGAAGUAGAGAACGGAGAUUUGAGGUCAUCUGUCAGUGAUAAUUCUUCAGUUCCUACUGAAAAUGGAGAAUCCCGGCGCCAAUUUCCUUCUAGUCGGAGUCUGAUCGUGAAUUUUCUACUCUAUUAGAUGGAUGCAAAUACAACUCAAAGUGAAGCUGCAACUGAAAUUGGUUCCUCUAUUCACCCUACAUCUGUACCUGCACCUUCUGCUGAUGCUCAACAAGUUGCACAAUCUUCUCCAACCGAAGCUAAUUUAGAAGUUUAAAGAUUUUUGUUAAUGUAUGAAUUCAGGUCUUAAGACUCUUAAAAGUUAAAGUUUUUAAGCUUAGAACUUUCAAGUA